rnacentral:snoRNA from 1 species
AUGUCUCUUGCCUCGCUCGGUUUUCCGUUUUCCUCCUUCGGAUGAUCUUGAGCUGGAUGCCGCUGUACUUCUAUCAUCAGAAAGAGUGCAGAUCGGUAUGAGACGAGAGGAAAAGCAUUUCUUCGAAAUGCCCUCGACGAUCUUUGAGUACGAUUUUAUCCGCUGUUCUGCCACGGAUCUCAUCGUAAUUUAUAGUCGGGACAUUA